rnacentral:rRNA from 1 species
AUUGAACGCUGGCGGCAGGCCUAACACAUGCAAGUCGAGCGGAGCGGCGGACGGGGGCGUAAUGCCUAGGAAUCUGCCUGGUCGUGGUGGAUAACGUCCGGAAACGGGCGCUAAUACCGAAUACUAUCACAUGAGCCUAGGUCGGUUUAGGUAGUUGGUGGGGUAAAGGCCUACCAAGGCGACGACCCGUAACUGGUCGGAGAGGAUGAUCAGUCACACUGGAACUGAGACACGGUCCAGACUCCUACGGGAGGCAGCAGUGGGGAAUAUUGGACAAUGGGCGAAAGCCUGAUCCAGCCAUGCCGCGUGUGUGAAGAAGGUCUUCGGAUUGUAAAGCACUUUAAGUUGGGAGGCGUUACCAACAGAAUAAGCACCGGCUAACUUCGUGCCAGCAGCCGCGGUAAUUC